rnacentral:lncRNA from 1 species
UGUGUGCAUUGCGUGUAUGUACUGGGGGCAGGCACUGACACUGGUUUCUUCCUGAGUUAUUCUUGUUUUCUGAGACAGUUUUUUUUUUUUUUUUUUUUUUUCACACACCAAGCAUGGAGCUCAGGAUUCUGCAAGGCUAGCCAACUAGCCCAGGAGUCCUCCUGUCUCCACUUUGCCUGGUGCUAAGAUCACAGACAUGCACUGUCACACUGUCCCCUCCCCUCCCCUCCCCUGUGUUCCUCUUGCCUCCUCUCCUCCUCUCUUCUUUUUUCUUGAGUGUGGCUUCGGGGGAUCCAGGCUGCAUGUGUGCGUGCUCCGCCCCUUCCUAACAGGGCCGCAUCUCUGUCCUCUGCUGUAGCUUUGUUGGUGAGCGCUGAAUUGCUUCUCAAUACAGCAUUUUAGGCUGGCAGUUUAGUCUUCUUUAAGUGGUGUAAGAGUGAAGUAGAUAAGAGGUUGGAAAGAUAGGUGAGAUUUAAGCAGCCGCCACCACAUUACCAUUACUUGAUCAUAUAUUCCUGGUUAAUAUUUCUUGAUCAUCUUCCUGGAGGGAAGGAAGAGCUUGGCAGUGAAGUGUUGUGGCUUCCUGUGCCUACUGUGUAAAUCCCCACCUCUCCUGCUUUGUAUUCAGGGCUGAGGAUCAGCUGCUGGCAGAAUACCUUUCCCACUGUGCCUUCCUCUCACUCUGCUGGUCUGUGUGCAGCCUGGUUUGCAUGCUGUUCCCCAUGUGUGUUUUAAACGCGUUUUUUGCACACCACGUUCAUGAAACCUCCUUGACUUGAAAGUGCUUCCUUCUGCUCCCUGCCCAGGACUGAGUCAGAGAUGUGCCACCUACGUGAACGUGUCUUCAUUCCCGAUAGUCAGUUGUCUUUGUCCUCCCUAGCUUCCUGAUUAUACAUCCUCUUUGUUAUGCAUUUGAUUGCCUAGUUCUCUGUCUUGUGGCUUCAGUCUCCUCCUCUGUCCUGAGGAGAGCUUCCUGUCUGCACACACACUCAGCCUCUCACCCUGAGAAAUCGCCCUUCUCCCCUGUUAGUAAUAUCUGGGCUUUGCCCUUCCUGUCCAGCUUCCCAGGGAGAGAUCCAGCUUAGCUGGGCCCUGAGCUCAGCCCCCCUCCCCACACUAGCCCCGUGGCUGAGGUGGAUUUGGCCCCUGGGUCCCACUGACCAUGCUUUCAGACCUGAGCCCAUCCUCCCCAUUCCUAUGCCACAAGCCUGGUCGCUCUCCUUAAUGCCAUCGUGUGUGUUUAACACCCUGGGCCACAGGAGUGCCCAGGUUCUUCACUGUCAUGGGUGUCGUUGCAUCUUUCCAGGUCCUACCUUGUUGAUUCCCACUCCUAGCUUAGCCUUAAGUCUAGCAAUUACCCAGGCCUCUAAUAUCAGGCCUCUUUUCCUCUCCACAGCAUGUUUUCUUUGGCUGGUCACUUGUUUACCUUUACAAAAAACAGCCCUCACUGUGCAUUCCCAGAUAUCUGCCUCUUAGCCUAGACCUCUCUCUAGGGACAGAAAAGAAUGUGCCUGUAUACUUCAUGUAUCACAAUUUUCAGCUUGCCGUGCCAUCGUAGUAAUUAUUUUAAACGGUUCUGUAGUGUUACGUUAACUGCACUGCCAUCAUUAGCCUGGCCAUCUUCCUGCUGACAAUGACUGGUCCUCACUGUCCACCUGUGGUCCACAGUCCCACACACGCAUGGGGAAGUGAGCGUCUGUGGUUGCCAAGUAAAGGGCCCCCCUCCCCUCUCAAACCAGCUCAGUGCUCCCAUAUAAAGCCAGGAAACCUUUGUAGAACUUCUGGAAAACUAUUCUUAAGCCUUGUGCUUUGCCUCUGUUAAGAGUACUACCAUCACUACUAGAACUGCUGACAGCUUUUCAGUCUGACACAGCCCUGGAAGAAGCUCGGAGUCCCCCUCUGCACAGCACCAUCACCUGAUCCCCUCCCGAGCACCUCUCAUAGAGAUCCAGCAGAAUCAAGAAGGAAUGGGUGGUGCAACUUCAAAAAGGCCUGGCGUGUGUCCUUGAGUGACUGGACUGCCCUUCCAUAUUCUCAGCCAGAGAAAGACAGGGAGAACAUGAAAGAUAGGAAUCAAUAUGGCAGAAACUGAGUGUGACCAUGAACACCAAAGUUAAUGACGUCAUAAAUAUUAUUAACAAGAGCUCGAACUUAAGAGAAUGAAAUGAGAUAAAAUGGGGGUGGGCUGGCAGUGGGAGGAGAUUUAUGUGAUACACACAUCGUAGAGGGAAACAGUUCCAUAAGUUGUCCUCUGAACUCUGCAUGCUUCAUGACAUAUAGACUGUCACACACCCAGAUGGAUAUAUAUGCAUGCAUACAUACAUACAUAUAUACAUACAUAAAAUAAAUACAAUAAAUUAAGAAAAGAGUGGUUGGGAAGAUGGCUCUGUGGACACAGUGCUUGCUCUGUGAGCAGAGAACCUGAUUUCAGUCCCCAGCAUCCGCAGAAAAGCCAGGCCUGGUGGUACACGCCUGCAGUACCAGUUCUGGAGGGCAGCGAAAGGAGGGGCCUGGAGGUUUGUCAGCUAGCUGAUAUAGUGCAAAGGACAAGAUCUAGCUUCAGUGAAAAACCUUGCCUUAAAAAUUAUACUGAAAAGCAAUAGAGGAAGACACAAUCUCCUCGAACUCUGGUCUUCAGAUUGUACCUAUGGACAUACCCACACACAUAGACACAUAACACACAGGGGUACUAUAUAUAUAUCCAUAUACAUAGGUGUACAACACAAGUACACACACACAGGCAUACAACACAGGUGCACCUCCACACAUACAUAGACAGAUGUACUCAACACAUCAGCAUAUUAUGCAAAUGUGCACACAAUCAUAGGCACACGACACAGGUGUCACCCACACAUAGGCAUAUGACACAGGUGCACACACACACACUAUACCGUGUACUAAAAUUAAAGUUACACACCAAGAAUUGACAAUAGACAUUUACAAAUAUAGCCGACAUGUAUGAAAUGCAAUGGCAAGUGACAGAAGGUCAGGUCCUAUUGAAAUUGGAACAUGUUGCUCAAAAUAUUUUUCUAAUCCUUAACUAUAGAUUUUUUUUUCAGAAAUAUCAUAAGUAAACAGAAAUAUUUAGAAAUUCUCUUUAUUUUCUCAUUCUCUUGAGGCAAUCUCAGUGUGUGUUCCAAGACGGCCUCAAGCACGUAGUUCCUCCUGGGUGCUAAGGGCCCCCCUCCCCUCUCAAACCAGCUCAGUGCUCCCAUAUAAAGCCAGGAAACCUUUAUAGAACUUCUGCACUUUACAGCCAGCUUUCCUUUUCUGUAAAAGCCAAAAGUUUUAUUACUUUAAUUUAAAACAACAUAAUUUUGAGUAUUUCAGCUACAGGUUGAUUCUUUGUAAUGGUGGGCACCAUUU